GACGAACCGUGCGAACGUUGUUCGGAUUCACUGGGCUUAAAGGGCGCGUAGGCGGGUGUCCAAGUCUGGGGUGAAAUCCUUCGGCCCAACCGGAGAACAGCCUCGGAUACUGGAUGUCUCGAGGGGGGGUAGGGGCACGCGGAACUUCCGGUGGAGCGGUGAAAUGCGUAGAUAUCGGAAGGAACGCCGGUGGCGAAGGCGGGUCUCUGGGCCGAUACUGACGCUGAGGAGCGAAAGCGUGGGGAGCAAACAGG
rnacentral:rRNA from 1 species